UACGUAGGGUGCAAGCGUUAAUCGGAAUUACUGGGCGUAAAGCGUGCGCAGGCGGUUUUGUAAGACAGAUGUGAAAUCCCCGGCUUAACCUGGGAACUGCAUUUGUGACUGCACGGCUAGAGUGCGGCAGAGGGGGAUGGAAUUCCGCGUGUAGCAGUGAAAUGCGUAGAUAUAGCGGAGGAACACCGAUGGCGAAGGCAAUCCCCCUGGGCCUGCACUGACGCUCAUGCACGAAAA
rnacentral:rRNA from 1 species